CUUGAGGUGGAUGGGCUACACCAGCAUAAGACCCCACCGGGUACCACUCAUCUCCACUAAAAAUAGGGAAAUGAGGCUACCAUUUACACGAGCUCACCAAAAUUGGACAGUUGAAGACUGU